GGUAUGACCAGGGCUAGCCGCCCAGCCGGGCUCUCUCGCCCUCUGGUGGCUCGAUUGUGUCAAGCCGGUACAUCCAGCCCUAGAGUUUAGGACUCAAAGCAGUUGCCCUGCGCUAGGACCCCAUCCGCUUCGGCUUGUGUACCAGUACUGAGUAACACAGCUCCCCAAAAGUAAGGAAUCUUCCUAGAAACUUCCAACCAAUCCAAACUUCCAGCACUGCUUCUGCAACCUCUGAUCUCACAACCCACCACCUCUACACGGUACCAGAAUCUCUCAUCACUUCAGCUGGGUUCCACCUUCCCAGUAGUAGAUCUAGAACCGACCACAAGGUCAUACGUUAUUGUUGCUCAAAAGCCACAACCCUACCUGAAAGCUAAUGUAAAAACCCAAUGGUUUUUCUUUUCCUGACUCCCUAAAUACCAAGAAAAAGCAACUUCCCUAAAUAGACAGAAACAGAAAGUACCCUUUGGGCGGGCGCAGAAGUUGGAACUAGGUGGGAAGGGGCUCAAUGCCCACCAUAGGUCUAGCCACAGUGAUCUCCAUCCCAACUACCUGUUUACAGGUGAGGAGCCCGGCCGUGGGCAAUGUGGUCCAUACAACUCUCUCCCCAGUCUCUACUUUAUUCACAAACAUGUUGACAUUUGGAGGAGAGGGAUGGAGGAAGCAGGCUUCACUGUAAAGAAGCAGACAAGAUUGGCAGUAGGUGCCUGAAGGAGAAGAUAGAGAAGAGCGCAUUUCACAGUCCAGGAAUGUGCUAGAGAAGUUGUGGAAUGUUUGACUUCUUCUGCAUUCUUGCUAUUCCCAAAACUGAAGGCAGAAUAAAGCUAAAACCCCGGGAAGCUCAGGACCUCAGAAACCCAGCGAUGCUGCCCUCCAAUGGCACACCCUCUUUCUUACUAGCAGCUGUGGCGCAGAUGUUGAGUUUGAAAUUUUCCUCCCUUCAACACUGGGGUGUGUUGUUGUCCCUGCAGGGCCAACCACCAGACCUCAAGAGCACCUGGCAUCUUCUGGACAGAAAUUAAAGUGACAGCCACUAGAAGCAGUGUCCCCAGUGCAGCUGGAAAGACCCAUGGGUGCCUCUGUCACUCGGUGGUGCCACCUGGUUACAUUCCCACCACUGUACAGCUCUGUUGUUUCCUCUUACAAACAAGGCUAUUUGUAAUCCC